rnacentral:rRNA from 1 species
CAAACCAAAGCUGGCGACCGGCGCACGGGUGAGUAACACGUAUCCAACCUGCCUCAUACUCGGGAUAGCCUUUCGAAAGAAAGAUUAAUAUCCGAUAGCAUAUAUUUCCCGCAUGGGUUUUAUAUUAAAGAAAUUCGGUAUGAGAUGGGGAUGCGUUCCAUUAGUUUGUUGGGGGGGUAACGGCCCACCAAGACUACGAUGGAUAGGGGUUCUGAGAGGAAGGUCCCCCACAUUGGAACUGAGACACGGUCCAA